CCAUGGGCCUCUGAUCGUGUCUCAUGCCAGAGCAAACUGUAGCCCCGAACCAUUGCCUUGCCUCCUGGCCCACAGGCUUCCGGCACUGAAGCGGGUUGCACAGCG
rnacentral:snoRNA from 1 species